CCAGGACCUGCAAGCAGUAAAUGCGGCGGUCCAACCACGCGCGCCUACGGCACCGCCCUGCUGCAGUACGUUGACGACUUGAUGAUCUGCAGUGAGGAUCAGGAAACUUGCGCAGCAGAUACGAUCAAGCUGCUGAAACACCUGCAUGCUGCAGGCCACAAAGCAAGUCUGUCUAAAUUACAGUUCAUUCAGACUGAAGUUACCUUCCUAGGUCACAUCAUCACCGCUGAAGGGAAAUCCAUUUCACCUAAAAGAGCUGAAGCUAUUCAGAACCUGCCUAAACCGUGCACAUACAAACAGCUUAUGUCCUUUUUAGGCAUGUGCUCUUAUUGCAGGAAUUUCAUUCCUAACUGCGUCGUCUUGGAGGCUCCGCUUAGAGCUCUGAUGCAGACGUCUUCUGCAUUCACCACCCGCCUCACGUGGACUUCUAAGGCUGAACAGGCGUUCACCGACCUCAAACUAGCUCUUCAGUCGGCUCCUACUUUGGGUCUGCCUGACCCUACGUGACCUUUCACCCAAACAGUGGAUGAGAAAUCAGGUUGUAUGAUCUCUGUCCUUCUACAGGAUCACGGAGGGCGUCCACGCCCUGUAGCCUAUUUCUCUGCUAAGCUUGACCCAGUCACUGCGGGGCUCCCACGAUGCCUCCGAGCAGUGGCUGCGGCAGAGAAAGCCGUGCUGGCAUCACGUGACAUUGUUGGCUAUUCUGAUGUCACCCUGCUGGUUCCUCAUGCCGUGUCUUUGAUCCUUUUGGAACAAAAAACAUCACAUCUUUCUACAGCCUGAUGGCCUAGAUACAACACCAUCUUACUGGAAAUGCCAAACAUUAGUGUCAAAAGGUGCAAUGUGCUUAACCCAGCCACUUUGUUUCCAGGCCCUGACGAUGGCGAGCCUCACAACUGUGUUUCGGUCUUGAACCAGGUCUGCACUCCGCGCCCAGAUCUGUCGGAGGUGCCAAUUCCUAACUGUGGCCUCGUUCUCUUUGUUGAUGGCUCCGCCUCUAGAGACCCAGCUUCGGGCCGCUGUCAGGUUGGAUAUGCAGUCUGCACCUCUCAUACUGUUUUACAUUCUGGCGCUUUGCCAGGACAUUACUCUGCUCAGGCUGCGGAGUUGAUCGCACUGACCGAAGCCUGUAAAUUGGCUGAAGGGAAGUCUGUUACUAUCUACACAGACUCCAGAUACGCUUUUGGCGUCACACACGACUUUGGUGCUCUGUGGAAACACAGAAAGUUUUUGAAAUCUGAUGGCAAACCUAUCUUGCAUCAUGAUAAGGUUGCUGAUCUGCUUGAUGCAAUUCUGUUACCAGCUGCAAUUGCUGUAUGUAAGUGCCCCGCACACACUGGGGGCACUGAUCCCAUCUCUGCUGGAAACGCACGCGUUGAUGCUGCUGCGAAGGCAGCUGCUCGACAUCCCCUUCCCUUUGUUCCCUGACUCUUAUCCUCCACCUCCACCCAACCUCCCUCUCCUCCCUUUGCUCUCCCUGAUCUUCAGACAUUCUCUACCCCACAGGAACGCAAGCUCUGGCUGACGAAUGGCGCCACCAGUAGCCAUGGCGUUUGGUAUGGCCCGACGGCAAACCUUGCCUACCUAAACACUUUUUCCCUCAUUUCGCGAAGUUGACACAUGGAUUAGACCAUGUAUCAAAGGGGGGAAUGUUAGAUGCUCUUACAAAACAUUGGUACACUAUGCGCAAAAAUACUGUGAAGCAUAUACUGUAUGACAUGCGCCCAACACAACCCAGGUAAGACGACUGCCAAACCACUGGCAGCUCACCCACCACCGGAACAGGCGUUUGACCAUUUAAUGCUGGACUUCAUCGAACUAACGCCGGCAGAAGGUAAAAAGUAUUGUUUAGUGAUUGUUGAUAUGUGGUCAAAAUGGGUGGAGGCCUUCCCAGCUAAAUAUGCUAACAGCCAUGCAGUUACCUCUUCCCAUUGUGCUCUCAUACAUGAGAAUGAGGAGAAGGAUGAGAACAAACCUCAGCCCGUAUGAGAUUCUAUUUGGUAGACCUCCUAUGAUGGGACUCCACCCUGAGACCGAGACUAGGAUUUUACCACCUACUGAAAUGUGCGAAGACGCAAUGCUACAGUACUGUAAGAACUUAUCCUCUGUUCUGUCCCAAAUCUCCAAACAGGUGAAAGCGGCUCUGCCCAAACAGGCGACAGAACCACUGCACAUCAUUCAACCAGGAGACUGGCUGAUCAUUAAGGAGCUUCGCAGGAAGCACUGGAACUCAACGCGGUGGCAAGGUCCCUUCCAAGUCCUUCUGACGACCAACACGGCUGUGAAGAUUGCAGAAAGAGCGACUUGGAUCCACUCCAGCCACUGCAGGAAGGUCCCGGAUCCGACAGACGACCCUCCAUCUACAUCUACACCACACGAGAAAACCACCACUGACGAAAAGAAUUGAGAAGGACGACCCUCGCUGUGCUCACACACGCACUGAGGCGAGGCUGCGUUGACCGUUCAGCUAAAGGUGCGAGCCAAGCGCCGCCUGAAGCUGCGCCGGUGAAUCACACUAUCAGACCAUACAUCUACACACACACUCCUGAGAAAACACACACACGAGCAGCCUUGAGUUGCCGACGCUGGACGACGUGUAGACUCUUCACAUCACGGGGAGUGACAGUGACUCAGACGACAUUGGGAGGAAACCUGGCGGUGAUAACGAACCCCAAGUGUCUCUGUGAUCAGCUGAUCACAACCUGAAGAACCCCAAUGAACUGUCAAGGUGUCAACAAACAGGUUGGAAACAAUCUAACGCUACUGUUCAACAGGAAGAAGAAUACAUUGAUUGUGACCCUGUUGUUUUUGAUAUGUUACUUUAAUAUUUGCUCUAAAUUGUGUGGUUGAUUACAUGUAUGCCUCUCUGUGAUUUUAUCCACUAUUUUUGAACGAAAACAUUUUACGAUAAGCAUAUCUAGAGUUGUUUUCUACUUGAUUCACACUUUCACACAAAUUUUUAUCUUCCACUGACGCAAAAUGACAUCCACCAGACGAAACAAGAUAAAAAUGAUUGUCAUAUCGACGAUGACAGCAAUAUGCGUGGUCACUCUGACAUUCGCAUCAACCGAAGACACUCCACCGCACACCGGAGUCACCCACAAAUCGAUCAUGCUUAGUUUGUGCCAUUAGAGACCUGAUGACCACGACGGAACAAUUGCCCCACAUAGCGAAGACAACAUGGCAGAAUAGAAUGGCCUUAGAGAUGUUAUUAACAAAGAUGGGAAGUGUUUGUGUCAGGUUUGGUAAAACAUGCUGUACCUUUACUCAGGAUGAUUGAACAUGAACUGAUUGGAAUCAAUUAUAGGCUUAUGUCCCUGUCUUUCCAAAGCUCAUACACAAGGGUUAUUCUAGUAUAACUACCCACAAAAACAGCUCACAAUCUUUUAUCCCUACGCCAUUUACAUCUUUAUAAGCAAUACAUUUAACGAAUCAUGUUUAAGGAAUGCUUUAUUACUACAGAAUGAAUACCACGAUUGACAAUUUUUAUUCUUUCAAUGUUUGAUUAAUGUGUAAUCAAAAGGGGGGAAUUGUAAUGGAAAAAUUGUACUUUAAUGCUCUUGUGUUCAUUUCUGACUAAGUAUAAUAACCAUGCAUUCUGUACUUGUUGGUUAGACCCAGAACUGAACAUUAUUAGACAAACAAUCUAUCUUCCUCUCAAGGUUCUGUCGCACAUUAAGUGCUGACAUCUAAUGUUGUGUUUGACUGACCGAUUGUUUAUGGCUUGUGUCUGCCUUUUACCCCUGGUCUCUGGCUCCUUUCUAUCUGAUGCCCCACCAGACCCAAGGCUGUAGACCUUGUGUAUUCCCUGUGUAAUGUAAACAUCUUCACCCACAGUGUGAUAGGAAAAUUCCACCAGGUCUCGGGAGAGGGGUUAAAAGGCAGAGACAACCUCAGAACGGGGUGAUCUUUGCAUUAUACCUCCAUGGUGUAUGUUCAGAUCUCCCCAGCUGGCUUUUUAUUUGCUUUCCUCAUUACUUGUUAUUUUCUUUAUUAUUUCAAUAAAUCGCACAAAAGGACAACUCUCUCUCAUCUGCCUUUAUUGCAAAAUUUCCACCACAACUUGGUAAAGGAUUUCAACAAACGUGCAGUCUGUCUUGAGUGAUUUUAAAUUCAAGUAGUUUAACUCCUCUUGCAAUAAAUCUACAAUUAUUACUUGGGCAAUCAAGAUUAUUGUAUUUCUGGCACAAUUGAGAUAAAAUGUGCUAGAAAAAUUAGUAAAACUCCUAAUACUCAUCAUUGUCAUGAUACCAUCUAGUGUAAGUUUUGGAUGAUUUAAUGUAUAAUCUUUUUUCCCAAAUAAAGUAAUUAGUCCAUUAUCCA